AUUGAACGCUGGCGGCAGGCCUAACACAUGCAAGUCGAACGGUAACAGGAAGAAGCUUGCUUCUUUGCUGACGAGUGGCGGACGGGUGAGUAAUGUCUGGGAAACUGCCUGAUGGAGGGGGAUAACUACUGGAAACGGUAGCUAAUACCGCAUAACGUCGCAAUACCAAAGAGGGGGACCUUCGGGCCUCUUGCCAUCGGAUGUGCCCAGAUGGGAUUAGCUAGUAGGUGGGGUAACGGGUCACCUAGGCGACGAUCCCUAGCUGGUCUGAGAGGAUGACCAGCCACACUGGAACUGAGACACGGUCCAGACUCCUACGGGAGGCAGCAGUGGGGAAUAUUGCACAAUGGGCGCAAGCCUGAUGCAGCCAUGCCGCGUGUAUGAAGAAGGCAUUCGGGUUGUAAAGUACUUUCAGCGGGGAGGAAGGGAGUAAAGUUAAUACCUUUGCUCAUUGACGUUACCCGCAGAAGAAGCACCGGCUAACUCCGUG
rnacentral:rRNA from 1 species